GGGCCUAUAGCUCAGUUGGUAGAGCAGCGGCCUUUUAAGCCGCGUGUCGUGGGUUCAAGUCCCACUGGGCCCUCCA
rnacentral:tRNA from 1 species